CCAUCUCUACGAGCGUAGGAGCCGGUGCCGCCGUCGCCCGUCGCUCUGGGCAGGUUCGAGCGCAGGAGCUGGUGCCUGCCGCCGCUGCUUCUGGGGAAGGUUUAGGCGAAGGGCGUGCGCUAAGAACGUCCGGCAACCCUUGAAGUUGGGGUUGUAGGAGCCAAGGGGAGGGAGCUACUGUGGUUUCUUGCGCAGAGUUCGUCGCGGGCCGCAGAGGGGGUAAUAGUCGAGAAGGGCUUUGGAGAGGGGUUCCAUGAGGUAAAAUAAACUAACUCUACUCUCUCCCCAGUUCACCGUGCGCCACCGACAAGCACCAACGCACGACGAAUACAUGACACGUUAAAGAAAAGAAAAAUCUAUCAACGACGAGACACGAUCUUCCCUACUUGUCCCCUCUUUGUCCUGUCCCGACCCACAACAGACGUGUGUCUCUAUAACUCUAUUAACCAUGAUAACAACAUCUUACGACACUACCUUUUAUUUUUUUAAGAAGCUAGAGAACGUCUACUACAACCUAACUUACUAAAGAACGUCAGUGUCCUCAGCAGGUUAUAGCACGAAGAAUAACCUUUUCUCUGGGACUAAAGCAUGUACGGUUGUUCUUUCUUCUGAUUCCCCGGCAAACCAAAAUCUGGAUCGUUACGGUGUGAAACGGUAUGUUACAACGGUUUGAACGGAUUCCAAUCAAGAAGUUUUACUCUCGGUGUCACCCAAGAAUUCCACUCCUUAAAAAAUCGCACGUACGAAACAAGCAGGCCUAACCCACCACUCAAAACCGGAAAACCCAUACUGUCGCUCCUUACAAAAUCACACGUACGAAACAAGUAGGCCUAACCACCACUCAAAACACAUACUGUCACUCCUUACAAAAUCACACGUACGAAACAAGCAGGCCUAAAAUCGCCGGUGACACAGCAGGUCCAACCUCUCCUACUGCCUCAGCCGUACCGACUUCUUCCACUUCGCCGACAACCCCAAUUCACAACGCUCAUUAAAAUGUCCUCACUCGAACGAGUCUUUAGACGCUGGCAACUUUGUACUUUAUGUACGUUUCUACCCCUUAUUAGUUGUACUACGAGACCAGCUCUCUUCAUCUUUAAUUAAUUCGAAGUUCUCCGACUCUGCUGAGAACAUCAUGACUGUCCUUUUUAAUCAAGACCUUUGUGGCUAUAGAGAUAUGAUAGAUGGAUACAAGUUGUUUCUUUAAGUAAAAGAAGGAAAGAGCCAGGAGAUAAAAAAUCGUCUGGUUCUACGUGUUUUCACGCCGGAUAUUUGACUUUAUCUUCGUCCAUUGAUGUGAGAUCUCCAUAUGUACUUGUUCUCUUUUCUCCUCUUGUUACUAGUUACCUCUUUACGUGACGCGACAAUUGACGACGAUGAUAUUGUGACUUCAAAAUUAACGUCCUCUGGGUAUUUCUUUCUUUCUUCUGAACACAAUCGGUAAGAACAAAACACAAAUUAAAAUACGAAAUAAGAAACUGAGCGAUCCUAUAUCAUGUUAAAAGUUAACACUUGGAUCGUAGAUCGUAGCUAAAACUGGAGACUUUAAAACAAAUCGUCCGUCGUGGUCGACGAAAAUCACGUUUAGUGGCUCUCGAUUCCCAUAUAAACAGGAACGUAGUAACAUUAAAACUACAAAACGAGAUAAGUAUUAAAUCAUAACGAACAAGGUAGAACUGGGAUAAUACAACACGGAUAUACACAAGGAAUACGCCAAUGCUGCCACUGUUACACGGAUUAAACGACAUACUGUAAGUCGCACUAGUCACCCCCAACUUUCACACCGCUACGGUUACAGUCUCUGACUUGAACAAUCCAACCAUUCUUAAUAAAGUAUAAAGAGAUCGAAACUCUAACGCCGAAGUGAAGAUCAUAGUAUAGUUGUUAUUUACGUACACAACUAGUAUAAUUAAUACGCAUUUCUAUGGAGCGUUUUUUUAAUUACGCAUUUCUAUAGUAUGUAUUAUAAUUACACGUUAAUUAAAGGAGGGAUUAUAGUGUAUAUGCGUAAAUAACGUUAAUUAUAACAUAUAAAUAAUUACACAUAUAUAUUCUUCACAAGCCGUUCCUUUUUUUACACCGAAGAGACCAAGCUGGCCUAGGUUCUAAAACCUGAGGAGCUAACUUUUCUUUCUUUCCAAAAUGUGAGAAGGCGCCGAGCGUUCGUGGACGAGCCGUAGGUGAGCGGCCGGCCGGCGGCGGCAUAAAAGAACCAGCCCGGCCGCGCCACAGCACGGCGCGGCACGACGGAGGGGUCCUAGCGUGGCGGCCGGCACUGUCCUCUUUCGUUGGCUUUUGGUUGUUCUCGCCCCCUGUCCUUCUAUAGCCUCCGUCGACGGGGUUGGGAUCCGAGAGUGUCAUUUUCACAUGGUUUACCUGGUACCCUCAAGGGGUUGCUUCUAUACAUUCAGACAACACCUACUUCUAUAGUAGUCGUUAGAUGGGCUUCGAGAGUCUCUGUUUUAGGAAACAACAGACGGUUAUUUUCUUCGACAACCUUGUACGGAGAACAGUUCCUGAACCUCCAUGUGUACCCGAAGUUACUGGCUUGACUACAAGUCCUGUCGACUAAAGCGAAGUCCUUUACUAUCACGUCUGCUACUGGCGUCUAAAGAAUUCAAGUGACUAUACAAAGAGAAGGAGGUGUUGCCGGGUUAAGACUUCAAAACGGACUUAUGGCAUCGCUUACUUUACCAUAGGUGACCUCCUGUGGAAAUGGCAACCUACGAAUACGACAGUUCUUUAUUCUAAUUCCUCUAAGUUGAAGUCUGUUCAUAUGCACUGUCAAUGUUCCAGGGCAGAUCAAAAAAGAGGACGCUACUUGAUCUUAUACACAUAGACGCUCGAACACAAAAGUGAUCAAAUGUAAACGGUGGAGGUAGAUUUCCGAAGUUUGUUAACGUAUGAGAAGCAGAUCUUAUACAAUGGCACCUUCCUUUGUCAAAUCCCCUAAAUCAUCGCUCAACGGGCUUAAACCUCUUUGAAUUAUAAGCACCUAACACGUCGGUUAGGUUAUAUUUAUAAGCAAGUUGUUUCGAGUUCCACGAUUUUUAACUUCCGACCAAAUGUGUGGAGUUAGACGUACGAGGAAUAGAAUGAAGGCAUACCUAGUCUGACCUUGACUCAAGACUGUGUCUACCACGAAGCUGUUGGUCUACGUUGAAGUUAGAAAGAGGUAAAUAACGAAGAGAAAGUCUACAACUCUGAUAAUCCAAAGUACCUGUGUAGGAACUCACGCAUCUUGCACUUAAAGACUAAGAGUUCGUCGGUUUUAAUAAGUUGGCCGACUGUCUCUAUUCGGACCUCUAGUUAGAGCCACUAGAGUUCCUUCGUUUAAAACGGAACAUGAAUAAAGUCGUACGGGGGUUGGACGCUAAAAAGUUUGAUUUCGAGUAAAGGUCCUUAAGGUACCAUGGUUCUCACGUAAAGACCCUUAGUUAUCUGGCACUACAGACAGAGAAGGUCUUGCAACUUCAUCAACCAAACAAGCUGAAGUGACCGAGGAAACGCCUCAAACCGAAGAACUUUGAAAAUGAACUUCUACGUGGUCACAAUUCUUUUCACCCUUAUUAGCUGUUCCCUAACCUGUCUUGACAGGAUUUUUUAGAGGACUUCGACUCUUCUCGUAGUUUCCUACGUCUUUAUAACUAAGAACUCCGAACAAAGGGGGUGAUCUUUUUCCUAGUUCAGGUUGGAGACUCCCUUGUUCAGUUCUGGUAACCUUCCUUGCCAUACUUCGAACACAACCCUUGGAGAUUGCUGAGAUGACGAGAGCAAACCACGCUAGAACGUUCUGUGUUCGAGACUUCAAUCCGAUAUGUCCGUACUCAAUAGGGGUAUCAAACAACAACUUCAAUGGGGCACAAGGACACCUUUUUGUCACAACGGAGUUCUCAACGAAUGGACAACACAGUUUCAAGUCUUUCUUUUACAAACAGUCGAAUUGAACACGAUACGUCGAAUAAAGGUUUAAACUUACGACCCAUGAGAGUCACAUAAGGAUACCCAGUGAAUCCAGGAGACAAUACAGAGAACGGACCAUUUCAACCAUACUAUUUGAAGUGACCAACGGUGGGGGUCAUUUACCAGGUCAUUGAGC
rnacentral:rRNA from 1 species